rnacentral:lncRNA from 1 species
AUUAAAUAAAAGAGUUCCUGGAGCUCACUCCCAGUGACUGCCAGUCUGAUGAUUAGGGGCUUAGCUAGGACCUAGGUUUGCAAAAGCUCCCAGCUGAUCUCAUGCAGCCAGCCUGGCUCUGGCUCUGGCGCUGGGAGCUGGGUUGGGAACUAGUCUUUGGUGCUAUUCUGCUGAUACUUCAAGUUGGGCUCUUUGACUCCGUCUUGUAUUGUCAUCACUUGUAUUCAGGUCUGUUCUUCCCCUGGAUUGUAAACUCCUUGAUGUCUGGGUCAUCUCAGCUCAUGAGCUGAGCUUUCAGUGGGUGCUCAGUGGAACAGGUGCUGAAUGGAGUCCGGCUCUAGGGAGGCCAGGGUGUGUUGGAAGGAAAAUACAUGUACAGCCAACUUCCUUGAGGGUUCGUUCUUUUGCAUCAGGGUGUCUCAAACUGAUGCCCUUAAAACACCUGUAAGAGAAUCAUCCAGGCGGCUUGCUUGCUCUGCAUGCAGGCCCUUUAGAAUCAGACUCAGAAUCCCUGGGGCUGGAGCCACAAAAUGAAAUGACAUUUCAACGAGUUUGUCAUCAUGUGAGAGAGAAUAGGCACAGAGAAGUUGCCCAUGACUCUGUGAUCCGUUUUGUCCAAUGAACCAUGAGCAGCAGCAACUUGAGUCACCUCCAGGUGGAAGUGUUAAGAGGUUGCUCUAUGAUCCACCACAUUCCCUUUGCCCUGAAGUGGAGAUCAAGGACACAUGCAGAGAUGGGGCUUUUGUCAGCCUGGAUCCCUGAGUGAACACAAUGAACAGACCACCCCAGAAUGCCCUAACACAGCCCAGACAUGCAACGUGACCAAGAAUAAGCCUCACUGUGGCCAGGCAUGGUGGCUCAUGCCUGUCAUCCCAGCACUUUGGGAGGCCAAGGUGGGUGGAUCAUUUGAGGUCAGGAGUUCAAGACCAACCUGGCUAACAGGGUGAAAUCCUGUCUCUACUAAGUACAAAGAUUAGCCAGACAGUGGUGGCAUGGGCCUGUAAUCCCAGCUACUCAGGAGGCAGGAGAAUCACUUGAGUCUGGGAGGCAGAGGUUGCAGUGAGCUGAGAUUGCACCACUGCACUCUAGUCUGGGUGACAGAGUGAGACCCUGUCUCAAAAACAAACAAACAAAUACCUCACUGCAUGAGGCCACUGAGAUUUGGGGUUUGUUGUUACUGCACCAGAACCCAAAUCAUCCUGACCGCUAGGGUGUCCUAACUAGGGUUUCUUACCAAAAGCAAAGGCAUUUUUAAAGUUCGUGACAUUUAAACAAAAGAGCAAAUACCAAUAUCUACCACUUUGUCAGGCUAAAAAACCCAAACAAAGCCAACAGCCAGAAGUUAAAAUAAACAGAUCAUUAGGUUGAAAAUAGAACUGUCAAAACAGGCACAAUUGACUUCAUUUAGUGAUUGCAAAGAACAUCAGGCAAGACACAGGUAUGCUCAUCAUAACAUUUAUCACAUGCUUCAUUGCACAUGUUUGACUAAGAAAAACAAAGUAUUUAAGCUCAUCUGUAGCUCAAAGUGCCUAUCCGUGUAUUUAUCUAUUCAUCCUGAUUUAUUUAUUGAGCAACUCUUUUGUGCCAGGCACUGUGCUGUGUUGCGGGAAGUCAGGGACCCCAAAUGGAGGGACCAGCUGAAGCCAUGACAGAAGAACGUGGAUUAUGAAGAUUUUAUGGACAUUUAUUAGUUCCCCAAAUUAAUACUUUUUUAAUUUCUUAUGCCUGUCUUUACUGCAAUCUCUAAACAUAAAUUGUGAAGAUUUCAUGGACACUUAUCACUUCCCCAAUCAAUACCCUUGUGAUUUCCUAUGCCUAUCAUUACUUUAAUCUCUUAAUCCUGUCAGUCGAGAAGGAUGUAUAUCGUCUCAGGACCUGUAAUAAUUGCGUUAAGUACAUAAAUUGUACAUCAUGUGUGUUUGAGCAAUAUGAAAUGUGGGCACCCUGAAAAAAGAACAGGAUAACAGCAAUUGUUCAGGGAAUUAGAGAGAUAACCUUAAACUCUGACCGCUGGUGAGCCAGGCAGAACAGAACCAUAUUUCUCUUCUUUCAAAAGCAAAUGGGAGAAAUAUCGCUGAAUUCCUUUUCUCAGCAUGGAACGUCCCUGAGAAAGAGAAUGCGCACCUAGGGGUAGGUCUCUGAACUGGCCCCCCGGGGCGUACCUGUCUCUUAUGGUCGAGAUUGCAGAGGUGAAAUAAACUCCAGUCUCCCAUAGCACUCCCAGGCUUAUUAGGAAGAGAAAAUUCCCGCCUAAUAAACUUUGGUCAGACGGGUUGAUCUCAAAACCCUGUCUCCUCAUAAGAUGUUAUCAAUGACAAUGGUGCCAAAACUUCAUUAGCAAUUUUAAUUUCACUUCCGUCCUGUGGUCUGGCCCUGUCUCCACUUGCCUUGUGAUAUUCUAUUACCCUGUUAAGUACUUGAUGUCUGUCACCCACACCUAUUCAUAUACUCCCUCCCCUUUUGAAACUCCCUAAUAAAAACUUGCUGGUUUUUGUGGCUUGUGGGACAUCACGGAUCCUACCAAUGUGUGAUGUCUCCCCCAGAUGCCCAGCUUUACAAUUUC